UGCCAGCAGCCGCGGUAAUACGGAGGGUCCAAGCGUUAAUCGGAAUUACUGGGCGUAAAGCGCGCGUAGGCGGUUUGACAAGUUGGGUGUGAAAUCCCCGGGCUUAACCUGGGAACUGCAUUCAAAACUUUUAAACUGGAGUACGGGAGAGGAGAGUAGAAUUCAUGGUGUAGCGGUGAAAUGCGUAGAUAUCAUGAGGAAUACCAAUGGCGAAGGCAACUCUCUGGACCGUAACUGACGCUGAGGUGCGAAAGCGUGGGUAGCAAACAGGAUUAGAUA
rnacentral:rRNA from 1 species